rfam:Cryptococcus amylolentus CBS 6039 supercont1.15, whole genome shotgun sequence.
GAUGCUAUCGUAUAAUGGUUAAUACACAGAUCCUUCACAUCUGAUAUGCGGGUUCGAUUCCCGCUAGUGUUA